UUAUUUAUAACGGAUGUUUGAUACAUGGCUGAACAUAUACAUGAAAUAAGGCAAAUGUAAAAAGGCAAAGCUGGGCAUGGAGAACAACAAUCAAGGCUUAGGAUCCCGUACAGAGAAGCCCAGAUCACCGUUAGCCUUUUAGAUCUGUGUUUGGUGCAAUGGCAUACCUCAGCUCCUGCUGGAAAUGGAUUCUCUUGGAUCACAUUCCCAUAUGAUGCCCAAUGCGGUCAACAGUGGGCAGGGUGGAAGCAGGCAUGAUCAUCAUGAGGUCAUGUGAUGAGGAAUCAUCAUGGCUUGGCAUAUGUAUGUCUCUCAUUUGUUUUAUGUAACUCAUUACUGUGGAAAAUUUUAUGAAAUUAGGUAAAGGUAUCCACAUAAAAGGACACUUGUAUUAUUCCAGAAUCAUAUUAUGCUGAAGUGUCACUGAUUUUGUGGGAGUGCAAAGUGCUUCUUAACAUCUACCAGUGUUAAGAUAUUAAGUAGCCACAUAAGUGGAGCUGUUCACUGAUACAGGCAUGUUGUGCUGUUGACUACUGAAAAGGACCUGUGGACAGUCUCACUUAGUCAAAGCAACCUCAUUCAUUAAAGUAUUGGUGAAUCUA